GACGUAGGUGGCGAACGUUAUCCGGAAUUAUUGGGCGUAAAGGGCGCGUAGGUGGCCUGGCAAGUUAUCAGUGGUAAAUCGAGGCCCAACCUUGUGGACACUGGCAAUACUGCUUGGCUUGAGUGCAGGAGAGGUUAACGGAACUCUAUGUGGAGCGGUAAAAUGCACAGAUAUAUAGAAGGACAUCAAGAACGGCGAAGGCAGUUAACUAUUCUGUUACUGACGCUGAGGCACGAAAGCGUGGGGAGCAAAACGG
rnacentral:rRNA from 1 species